UCGCUCAGGACGAACGCUGGCGGCGUGCUUAACACAUGCAAGUCGAACGAUGAAGCCCUUCGGGGUGGAUUAGUGGCGAACGGGUGAGUAACACGUGGGCAAUCUGCCCUUCACUCUGGGACAAGCCCUGGAAACGGGGUCUAAUACCGGAUAACACUCUGUCCCGCAUGGGACGAGGUUGAAAGCUCCGGCGGUGAAGGAUGAGCCCGCGGCCUAUCAGCUUGUUGGUGGGGUGAUGGCCUACCAAGGCGACGACGGGUAGCCGGCCUGAGAGGGCGACCGGCCACACUGGGACUGAGACACGGCCCAGACUCCUACGGGAGGCAGCAGUGGGGAAUAUUGCACAAUGGGCGAAAGCCUGAUGCAGCGACGCCGCGUGAGGGAUGACGGCCUUCGGGUUGUAAACCUCUUUCAGCAGGGAAGAAGCGAAAGUGACGGUACCUGCAGAAGAAGCGCCGGCUAACUACGUGCCAGCAGCCGCGGUAAUACGUAGGGCGCAAGCGUUGUCCGGAAUUAUUGGGCGUAAAGAGCUCGUAGGCGGCUUGUUGCGUCGGUUGUGAAAGCCCGGGGCUUAACCCCGGGUCUGCAGUCGAUACGGGCAGGCUAGAGUGUGGUAGGGGAGAUCGGAAUUCCUGGUGUAGCGGUGAAAUGCGCAGAUAUCAGGAGGAACACCGGUGGCGAAGGCGGAUCUCUGGGCCAUUACUGACGCUGAGGAGCGAAAGCGUGGGGAGCGAACAGGAUUAGAUACCCUGGUAGUCCACGCCGUAAACGUUGGGAACUAGGUGUUGGCGACAUUCCACGUCGUCGGUGCCGCAGCUAACGCAUAAGUCCC
rnacentral:rRNA from 1 species